rnacentral:rRNA from 1 species
UGGCGCCUACGGGGCGCAGCAGUGGGGGAUAUUGCACAAUGGGGGAAACCCUGAUGCAGCGACGCCGCGUGGGCGAAGAAGUAUUUCGGUAUGUAAGGCUCUAUCAGCAGGGAAGAAAGAAAUGACGGUACCUGACUAAGAAGCCCCGGCUAACUACGUGCCAGCAGCCGCGGUAAUACGUAGGGGGCAAGCGUUAUCCGGAUUUACUGGGUGUAAAGGGAGCGUAGACGGCGAUGCAAGUCUGAAGUGAAAGCCCGGGGCUCAACCCCGGGACUGCUUUGGAAACUGUAUGGCUGGAGUGCUGG